rnacentral:rRNA from 1 species
AGUGAACGCUGGCGGUAUGCCUUACACAUGCAAGUCGAACGGUAACGGGUCCUUCGGGAUGCCGACGAGUGGCGAACGGGUGAGUAAUAUAUCGGAACGUGCCCAGUAGUGGGGGAUAACUGCUCGAAAGAGCAGCUAAUACCGCAUACGACCUGAGGGUGAAAGGGGGGGAUCGCAAGACCUCUCGCUAUUGGAGCGGCCGAUAUCAGAUUAGCUAGUUGGUGGGGUAAAGGCCUACCAAGGCAACGAUCUGUAGUUGGUCUGAGAGGACGACCAGCCACACUGGGACUGAGACACGGCCCAGACUCCUACGGGAGGCAGCAGUGGGGAAUUUUGGACAAUGGGCGCAAGCCUGAUCCAGCAAUGCCGCGUGCAGGAAGAAGGCCUUCGGGUUGUAAACUGCUUUUGUCAGGGAAGAAAUCUUCUGGGCUAAUACCCCGGGAGGAUGACGGUACCUGAAGAAUAAGCACCGGCUAACUACGUGCCAGCCGCCGCAGUAA